rnacentral:sRNA from 1 species
GCUGGGUGUGGUGGCACGCAUGUCUGUAAUCCCAGCAUCUUGGGAGGCUGAGACAGGAGGAUCGUGAGUUCAAAGCCAGCUUCAGCAAAAGUGAGGUGCCAAGCAACUCAGUGAGACCCUGUCUCUA